GAGCUUUUAGAUUAAUGGAAAUAUUACUUAAAUUAAAAUUCAUCCCAUUAAGCCAUCAAUUCCAUUGUCAUUGCAACAUCAUGUGUUUAAUGUUAAUGAUUUGCACAAAUAAAAAGGAAACAACGCAAGAAAUCUAUUUGUUUUGUUGUGCCAAGAGAUGAGUAUGGGCUGCUGUGGAAAGUUAAAUACAAGCCAGAGUGGGCACAAGGCAGGAUCAACAGAGAUGUUGUUAAAAUGUACUUGCAGAAGGUAGACUGCACAGUACUGCAUAUGGAAAUGCUAAGAGGCAUACUUUGGAUUGUAUUUUCAAUGAGUUGUGUGUGGUGCUGGGUUUUUUGUUGUUGCUGUUAGUGACUUCUGGAGGAGGCCCUCUGUAGCUUCCAGGCUCUGUCACUUUGUUUUUGAAGCUGUGUGUUGAGAGCUGAUCCUCAACCCCAGCUGGGACAUGUUCCAGCUCAUUGUUGUGCCAAGGAAACAGUAGGCAGCUUGGAGGAGAGCUGCCAGGUUCAAACCAUGUCUUGAGCCUCUGCCCUUACAAAAUGAGUUCUCGUAAGACCAGAUUUCAUGCUCCCUGCAUCAUGACCUUCAUCUCCCAAUCUGUCUGGACAACCUGAGUGUCAGCACUCUGGGCAUUUCUGAGAUUCUGCUUCCUGUCUGUGGAGGCACAGAUCUCAGCUAUAUCAUGUUCCCAACCCUCUCUCUUUGGAAGCCUGAAGAAAUAAAGGUGCUUGCAGCAUGACAGACAGAAAAACUGGUUCAGGCAAGUCAGAAGCUGUGGAAGAAACAGAAAGAGAGAAGUGGAGCCAGAAAGUCUCAAAAAAGGACAUUUUUCACGGAUUUUUUUGGAUGACUGUAUCAGUUUUGAGCACCUUGGAAAAAGCAAUUUUUUUCACUCCUGGCAUAUCGUGUUUGUUCAAAUGGAGCCAUUAAAAGCGUGGGCAUAAUAGUUCGUGAGGCAGCUUGUGACCCAUACUACUUUCUCUUGCCUUCUUCACCCUAGUUAAACUUUAAAAGCUUCCCACAUUAUUCUCAAAUGCUUCUUGCAGGUAAGAUGAUAAAUGCAGCAAAUUGCCUCCUGUUAGCAGGUGAAUUACAGGAUCUCCCUCCUGAAAGAAAUAACAAGCAUUUUCUGUACAGGGCAACAGUUUGUUUUCGUUGAACUUGAAAUGGAAAAUGUGGACAAAUUCUGCAAACUCUUUUGAGAAAAUGAAGAACUGAGUGUUUCUCUCUGUAUGAAGAAAAGCUGUCACACUAUGCCAAGCACACAAGUGAAAAAAUUAGUGAUAAACAGUUAGGACUAUAUCUUCAAGAGAAUUGUAACCAACGUACAUGUAGAAAAUAAAGUAUGAAAAUAUAUAGUGUUACAUCCAAACCAGUCAGGCUGUGCAGGAAAAGAAGGGUAUGCAUUUCUGUCCUAUAAGCCACUGUGCUUUCAUUUGUAAAUUUUUCCCUGCUUUUCCCUAUUUUUUUAAUAGCCUCAUUGAGACAAAUGGGUCUCUUUUACGUGAUAGAAACUACCUAAAUAUCAAGAACAUGUUUCAUAAUAAGGAGAUUUAUGCUUACAACUGUCUCUUCCAUAUCUAGUGUGCUAUUUUUCUAGGGUUCCGACAGUAGAGGUAUUAUGGUUUCUUGUUGGAUCAACAUGUUUGAUAUUGAUGUUAGAUGCUGUGGCGCUAGGAGCUGCUAGCUUAGCUAUAAACAGUACCCCGCCAGGUGAGUUAGUGAGCCAUAAGGUCAGAGGCCAUAGUAUUACCUUGUCUGCCCUGCUACUAUUUUGUCUAUUAGCCAUUGUACAAUGCAGCCUAGCUUAGCCACAUCAUCGACCUCAGCUUCAUUAAACGGCAUUGUUUUCUUGUCUGCUGUAGAAGGCUCUCAUAACAAAGUUAAAAACUGCUGUUGUUAGUUUCCUGAGUUACUCUUUUUAUUCAGGGCUAAGCAAGUAGAAUCUCCUGCAAUUACUCUGCAAUUUUCCCUUCUUGUGUUAUGUUUUAACAUUCUCACUAUCCUCUGCUGACUUGAGCUGGUUAGGGAAUCAGAGCUUCAUGCUUGCUAAUGUAAUGAAUGCACGUUUGACACUGUGUUGCAGCCUUUCUCUUGAAUUUGAUUCUGACAUAAGCUGGUGGGACAAGCUGUCAUUUGUCACUCUUACGAUGUUUUCCUUGUGAAUGAGUUCUUUGGUAUCCUUUUGCCCAAAGGACAGUCAGACACUCUUCUCUCACCUGCUCUGUUUUCUUCCAGUGCUUAUCGUUCCACUUGUGCUAAUGCAGAGAGACAGUCGCUAUCCUUUAGAAAUUUGCAAUAGGCAUUAACCUAAGGCACUGACACAAGUAUUUUUGUGAUUCAAAGUAGACAUUAAACAGCUGAAGUAGGAGGAGGGUGGCCAUACCUAUGAAUGAAGCUGGUGCACUGUGGAAACCUUAGCUAAUUACUUCUGGAUGAAGAAACCUUCAAGGUCCGCUGGCUAAGACAUUGGAGGCUGUUACCUGAGCAGUUCCCUGGCCCCAGGCAAUGAGCUAGCACAACUUCCAGCCUGUGCCAGACCAUUAGCUGCAAGCUACUAAUAUGACACAUCCCUCACGACUUGUCCUCUAAAGCCAGCUCUGGAUUCAGUCCCAGAUCCAAGCUCCUACAUCAUGUGGCUUUUUCAGAUUUUCGUGUUUUUUUUUUUUUUAUUAGAAACAAACCAGCACAUCCCAAAGCCUAACCAUUCUUGUUGCUUAAAAAAAAAGCCGCAGCUGAUACAGCAGUGCCUGCUUUGGUAUACAGCAGUACUGGUGAGAUGCAUGACCAAACCGGAAACCUCACUGUGGUGCUGACGCUAUGGCCCAAAGAUCUGUGAAACUCUUCCAAAAUUACUCCUUGAGAAGGCUGUAUGAGAAAGAUACAACAGGCCCAAGCGCAAGCUUUUGUACAAAUACCUCCACAGGCCUAGAAAAGUGUUGCCACAAAUAAAGAGCAUAAAUAGUUUGUUUGGCUGGAAUGGGAGAGUGACUACUGACAUUACUACUUUACCUGGGGAUGGUGAACACGUGAUUAAGAUUUUCUGUCUCCUAAUCAUGGCCUUUCCUGUCCUAUUACCAUUUGCCCAAGAUGAACAACUUGAGCUGCAAUUUGGGGUCCAGAUCCCAGCCCCAUCACAGCAUCUCUUAGCACCACAAGCUGUAGGACUUGUAGUUUAAAGAUCAGCGCCAUGGGCUCCUGGCUGGUAUAGCUAACACUUAUACCUCUCUGUUCAUUUAAGGUAGCACAAAGCUAUUUUAAGCAGGCAGAAGCCUUGUGCAAGAAAGCUCUCACAACACUGACAACUCCAAAGCAGGGGAAGAGCAGCUGAGAUAAGUGAAUGCAAAGGAUCAACAUCCCAACCAGUGCUAAACCACCACGGCUGUUAAUCCCAUGGUGUAAUGAGAGUGUCAGUUGGCUCCUUCCUCUAAGCGGAGUGCCAUUGGGAGCACCAUGCUGGAUCAGGCUACUAACUAUGCACAUCUGCUGAAAGCAGGCUCACGCGUCCCUUGGGCUGUGCUGGAGCAGGUCAGUGGAGGAGGAGAGGAGGCACUCACUGGGCUGCAGGACAGGUUGAGGUGAGCCUGGUCAAUACAGCCCACAGCCACCUUGACUGCUGCUGAGUGCCACAGCUGCCCUUGGGAUUUGCUGUUUGACUGCUGACCCCUUUUAAAAAAAUAAAAAUGUAAAUUUCAGAAAGAAUAUCUGCCCCAGUCUGUAGGGUUCACCCAGUUUUUCCUCUUUGGAAACUGUGGCUUGAUACACUUCCCAUGGAACCAUUUGUGUACGCUGGCUUCGGUUGAAGACCUGUCACACGCAUUGUGUUUCUAACAGUCCAACAAUUUCAGCAAACAGUGCUUUUUUUUUUUUUUUUUUUUUUUAACCAGUCUUUGUGAACCAGUAAAACCCAUUCUACAGACUUCUUCAUACCAUAUAAAGAUGCCUCCCACAGAGGUAGUACUUAGCACCCCCUCUUCCAUGGAGAGGCAUUCCCACCUGGCCAUGCUACACCCCCUUAACUCUGGGAGAGCCCAUAACCUUCUGUAUGGGUAGCAGGUGGCAACAGGUCUCUCACCUGCAGUAACUCAGUUAUUAAGUAUGGAAACAGCUGGGCCUACUUGUGAUCUUUCUGUUCUUAGCUGUUUGUUGCCAUUUCCCAGCAACCAUCUGCAAUCUGUGGCUGAGCUCAUGGAGGAGCCUAGAAGAGCUGUUUGGUGAUUCUUUGCUCACUAGAGUACUUUUGAUGCUUUCCUCUGAAACAAAGAGCGGGUGGCCUGAAUAUGAGUCCUGUCUUACCAACAAAUCCAGCGUUUGGGAUCGUUUGCAUAACCAUUUCCAGCCUUGGCUCACUUCUGUUCUGAAUAAGCAGUCAAGGAGUUUGGGUAAUUUUCAGUCCCCUAUGGGCUGGCAGCACAGAGAGAAGAACCUGACCUGUUUAACUUCUGUUAGCCUGUAUG